rnacentral:rRNA from 1 species
GACAGAGGUGCCAAGCGUUAGGCGGAAUCACUGGGCUUAAAGCGCGUGUAGGCGGGUCGUUAAGUACCUUGUGAAAUCCCCCGGCUCAACCGGGGAACGGCUGGGUAUACUGGCGAUCUUGAGCCACCUAGGGGCAGUCGGAACAAGUGGUGGAGCGGUGAAAUGCGUAGAUAUCACUUGGAACGCCAAUGGUGAAAACAGACUGCUGGGGGUGUGCUGACGCUGAGACACGAAAGCCAGGGGAGCAAACGGG